rnacentral:rRNA from 1 species
UCGAGGACACGCUGGCGGCGUGCUUAACACAUGCAAGUCGAACGGUGACGAGGAGCUUGCUCCUCUGAUCAGUGGCGAACGGGUGAGUAACACGUGAGCAACCUGCCCCAGACUCUGGGAUAACAGUUGGAAACAGCUGCUAAUACCGGAUACGAGACGGAGAGGCAUCUCUACCGUCUGGAAAGUUUUUCGGUCUGGGAUGGACUCGCGGCCUAUCAGCUAGUUGGUGAGGUAAUGGCUCACCAAGGCGACGACGGGUAGCCGGCCUGAGAGGGCGACCGGCCACACUGGGACUGAGACACGGCCCAGACUCCUACGGGAGGCAGCAGUGGGGAAUAUUGCACAAUGGGCGAAAGCCUGAUGCAGCGACGCCGCGUGAGGGAUGACGGCCUUCGGGUUGUAAACCUCUUUCAGCAGGGAAGAAGCGAAAGUGACGGUACCUGCAGAAGAAGCACCGGCUAACUACGUG